rnacentral:hammerhead_ribozyme from 1 species
AUCCAACCGACGCGUCCAAAAUAGGACGAAACCCUCUUCCUGGAA